rnacentral:rRNA from 1 species
CAGUCGCCGCGGUAAUACGUAGGUGGCGAGCGUUGUCCGGAAUCAUUGGGCGUAAAGGGAGCGCAGGCGGGCAAGUAAGUCUUUCUUAAAAGUGCGGGGCUCAACCCCGUGAUGGGAAAGAAACUACAUGUCUUGAGUACAGGAGAGGAAAGCGGAAUUCCCAGUGUAGCGGUGAAAUGCGUAGAUAUUGGGAGGAACACCAGUGGCGAAGGCGGCUUUCUGGACUGCAACUGACGCUGAGGCUCGAAAGCCAGGGGAGCGAACGGGAUUAGAUACCCGUGUAGUCCCUGUCUCUUAUACA